rnacentral:rRNA from 1 species
GGUUAAGCGACUAAGCGUACACGGUGGAUGCCCUGGCAGUCAGAGGCGAUGAAGGACGUGCUAAUCUGCGAAAAGCGUCGGUAAGGUGAUAUGAACCGUUAUAACCGGCGAUGUCCGAAUGGGGAAACCCAGUGCAAUUCGUUGCACUAUCGUUAACUGAAUACAUAGGUUAACGAGGCGAACCGGGGGAACUGAAACAUCUAAGUACCCCGAGGAAAAGAAAUCAACCGAGAUUCCCCCAGUAGCGGCGAGCGAACGGGGAGCAGCCCAGAGUCUGAAUCAGCUUGUGUGUUAGUGGAACGGUCUGGAAAGUCCGACGGUACAGGGUGAUAGUCCCGUACACCAAAAUGCACAGGCUGUGAACUCGAAGAGUAGGGCGGGACACGUGGUAUCCUGUCUGAAUAUGGGGGGACCAUCCUCCAAGGCUAAAUACUCCUGACUGACCGAUAGUGAACCAGUACCGUGAGGGAAAGGCGAAAAGAACCCCGGCGAGGGGAGUGAAAAAGAACCUGAAACCGUGUACGUACAAGCAGUGGGAGCACCUUCGGGUGUGACUGCGUACCUUUUGUAUAAUGGGUCAGCGACUUAUAUUCUGUAGCAAGGUUAACCGUAUAGGGGAGCCGCAGGGAAACCGAGUCUUAACUGGGCGUUAAGUUGCAGGGUAUAGACCCGAAACCCGGUGAUCUAGCCAUGGGCAGGUUGAAGGUUGGGUAACACUAACUGGAGGACCGAACCGACUAAUGUUGAAAAAUUAGCGGAUGACUUGUGGCUGGGGGUGAAAGGCCAAUCAAACCGGGAGAUAGCUGGUUCUCCCCGAAAGCUAUUUAGGUAGCGCCUCGUGAACUCAUCUUCGGGGGUAGAGCACUGUUUCGGCUAGGGGGUCAUCCCGACUUACCAACCCGAUGCAAACUACGAAUACCGAAGAAUGUUAUCACGGGAGACACACGGCGGGUGCUAACGUCCGUCGUGAAGAGGGAAACAACCCAGACCGCCAGCUAAGGUCCCAAAGUCAUGGUUAAGUGGGAAACGAUGUGGGAAGGCACAGACAGCCAGGAUGUUGGCUUAGAAGCAGCCAUCAUUUAAAGAAAGCGUAAUAGCUCACUGGUCGAGUCGGCCUGCGCGGAAGAUGUAACGGGGCUAAACCAUGCACCGAAGCUGCGGCAGCGACACUAUGUGUUGUUGGGUAGGGGAGCGUUCUGUAAGCCUGCGAAGGUGUGCUGUGAGGCAUGCUGGAGGUAUCAGAAGUGCGAAUGCUGACAUAAGUAACGAUAAAGCGGGUGAAAAGCCCGCUCGCCGGAAGACCAAGGGUUCCUGUCCAACGUUAAUCGGGGCAGGGUGAGUCGACCCCUAAGGCGAGGCCGAAAGGCGUAGUCGAUGGGAAACAGGUUAAUAUUCCUGUACUUGGUGUUACUGCGAAGGGGGGACGGAGAAGGCUAUGUUAGCCGGGCGACGGUUGUCCCGGUUUAAGCAUGUAGGCUGGUUAUCCAGGCAAAUCCGGAUAAUCAAGGCUGAGGUGUGAUGACGAGGCACUACGGUGCUGAAGUAACAAAUGCCCUGCUUCCAGGAAAAGCCUCUAAGCAUCAGGUAACAUCAAAUCGUACCCCAAACCGACACAGGUGGUCAGGUAGAGAAUACCAAGGCGCUUGAGAGAACUCGGGUGAAGGAACUAGGCAAAAUGGUGCCGUAACUUCGGGAGAAGGCACGCUGGUGUGUAGGUGAAGUCCCUGCGGAUGGAGCUGAGACCAGUCGAAGAUACCAGCUGGCUGCAACUGUUUAUUAAAAACACAGCACUGUGCAAACACGAAAGUGGACGUAUACGGUGUGACGCCUGCCCGGUGCCGGAAGGUUAAUUGAUGGGGUUAUCCGUAAGGAGAAGCUCUUGAUCGAAGCCCCGGUAAACGGCGGCCGUAACUAUAACGGUCCUAAGGUAGCGAAAUUCCUUGUCGGGUAAGUUCCGACCUGCACGAAUGGCGUAAUGAUGGCCAGGCUGUCUCCACCCGAGACUCAGUGAAAUUGAACUCGCUGUGAAGAUGCAGUGUACCCGCGGCAAGACGGAAAGACCCCGUGAACCUUUACUAUAGCUUGACACUGAACAUUGAGCCUUGAUGUGUAGGAUAGGUGGGAGGCUUUGAAGCGUGGACGCCAGUCUGCGUGGAGCCAACCUUGAAAUACCACCCUUUAAUGUUUGAUGUUCUAACGUUGGCCCCUGACCGGGGUUGCGGACAGUGUCUGGUGGGUAGUUUGACUGGGGCGGUCUCCUCCCAAAGCGUAACGGAGGAGCACGAAGGUUAGCUAAUCCUGGUCGGACAUCAGGAGGUUAGUGCAAUGGCAUAAGCUAGCUUGACUGCGAGCGUGACGGCGCGAGCAGGUGCGAAAGCAGGUCAUAGUGAUCCGGUGGUUCUGAAUGGAAGGGCCAUCGCUCAACGGAUAAAAGGUACUCCGGGGAUAACAGGCUGAUACCGCCCAAGAGUUCAUAUCGACGGCGGUGUUUGGCACCUCGAUGUCGGCUCAUCACAUCCUGGGGCUGAAGUAGGUCCCAAGGGUAUGGCUGUUCGCCAUUUAAAGUGGUACGCGAGCUGGGUUUAGAACGUCGUGAGACAGUUCGGUCCCUAUCUGCCGUGGGCGCUGGAGAAUUGAGGGGGGCUGCUCCUAGUACGAGAGGACCGGAGUGGACGCAUCACUGGUGUUCGGGUUGUCAUGCCAAUGGCACUGCCCGGUAGCUAAAUGCGGAAGAGAUAAGUGCUGAAAGCAUCUAAGCACGAAACUUGCCCCGAGAUGAGUUCUCCCUGAGACUUUGAGUGUCCGGAAGGAACGUUAAAGACGAUGACGUUGAUAGGCCGGGUGUGUAAGCGCAGCGAUGCGUUGAGCUAACCGGUACUAAUGAACCGUGA